AGUGAACGCUGGCGGUAGGCCUAACACAUGCAAGUCGAACGGCAGCACAGUAAGAGCUUGCUCUUACGGGUGGCGAGUGGCGGACGGGUGAGGAAUACAUCGGAAUCUACUUUUUCGUGGGGGAUAACGUAGGGAAACUUACGCUAAUACCGCAUACGACCUACGGGUGAAAGCAGGGGAUCUUCGGACCUUGCGCGAUUGAAUGAGCCGAUGUCGGAUUAGCUAGUUGGCGGGGUAAAGGCCCACCAAGGCGACGAUCCGUAGCUGGUCUGAGAGGAUGAUCAGCCACACUGGAACUGAGACACGGUCCAGACUCCUACGGGAGGCAGCAGUGGGGAAUAUUGGACAAUGGGCGCAAGCCUGAUCCAGCCAUACCGCGUGUGUGAAGAAGGCCUUCGGGUUGUAAAGCCCUUUUGUUGGGAAAGAAAAGCAGCAGGUUAAUACCGCGCUGUUCUGACGGUACCCAAAGAAUAAGCACCGGCUAACUUCGUG
rnacentral:rRNA from 1 species